rnacentral:rRNA from 1 species
UCAGCGGCGGACGGGUGAGUAACGCGUGGGAACGUGCCUUCUGGUCUGGAAUAGCCCUGGGAAACUAGGGCUAAUACCGGAUACGCCCUUUUGGGGAAAGGUUUACUGCCGGAAGAUCGGCCCGCGUCUGAUUAGCUAGUUGGUGGGGUAACGGCCUACCAAGGCGACGAUCAGUAGCUGGUCUGAGAGGAUGAUCAGCCACACUGGGACUGAGACACGGCCCAGACUCCUACGGGAGGCAGCAGUGGGGAAUUUUGGACAAUGGGGGCAACCCUGAUCCAGCAAUGCCGCGUGAGUGAAGAAGGCCUUCGGGUUGUAAAGCUCUUUUGUCAGGGAAGAAACAGCAGCUCUAACACAGUCUGCGAAUGACGGUACCUGAAGAAUAAGCACCGGCUAACUACGUGCCAGCAGCCGCGGUAAUACGUAGGGUGCAAGCGUUAAUCGGAAUUACUGGGCGUAAAGCGUGCGCAGGCGGUUAUACAAGACAGGCGUGAAAUCCCCGGGCUUAACCUGGGA